rnacentral:rRNA from 1 species
UACAGAGGUGGCAAGCGUUGUUCGGAAUUAUUGGGCGUAAAGAGCUCGUAGGCGGUUUGUCGCGUCUGCUGUGAAAACGUGGGGCUUAACCCUACGCCUGCAGUGGGUACGGGCAGACUAGAGUGCGGUAGGGGAGACUGGAAUUCCUGGUGUAGCGGUGGAAUGCGCAGAUAUCAGGAGGAACACCGAUGGCGAAGGCAGGUCUCUGGGCCGUUACUGACGCUGAGGAGCGAAAGCAUGGGGAGCGAACAGG